CCUACGGGUGGCAGCAGUGGGGAAUAUUGGGCAAUGGGCGCAAGCCUGACCCAGCAACGCCGCGUGAAGGAAGAAGGCUUUCGGGUUGUAAACUUCUUUUCUCAGGGACGAAGCAAGUGACGGUACCUGAGGAAUAAGCCACGGCUAACUACGUGCCAGCAGCCGCGGUAAUACGUCGGUGGCAAGCGUUAUCCGGAUUUACUGGGUGUAAAGGGCGUGUAGGCGGGACUGUAAGUCAGAUGUGAAAACCACGGGCUCAACCUGUGGCCUGCAUUUGAAACUGUAGUUCUUGAGUACUGGGGAGGCAGACGGAAUUCGUGGUGUAGCGGUGAAAUGCGUAGAUAUUGGGCGGAACACCAGUGGCGAAGGCAGUCUGCUGGACAGCAACUGACGCUGAGGCGCGAAAGCGUGGGGAGCAAACAGGAUUAGAUACCCUUGUAGUC
rnacentral:rRNA from 1 species